GAGGUGAUAGUUCAGUGGUAGAAUUCCUGCUUUCCAUGCAAGAGACUCAGGUUAGAUUCAUGGCCAACACA
rnacentral:tRNA from 1 species